UUCUCGUUAGAUCACCGAAGUUAAGCAUCAUUGGGCGCGGUCAGUACUUGGGUGGAUGACCACCUGGGAACACUGCGUGCCGUU